GGAUCCAGACUUUGAUUAUGGCUCAGGAUGAACGCUAGCUACAGGCUUAACACAUGCAAGUCGAGGGGCAGCGGGAUUGAAGCUUGCUUCAAUUGCCGGCGACCGGCGCACGGGUGAGUAACGCGUAUCCAACCUUCCGUACACUCAGGGAUAGCCUUUCGAAAGAAAGAUUAAUACCUGAUAGUAUCUUAAGCACACAUGUAAUUAAGAUUAAAGAUUUAUCGGUGUACGAUGGGGAUGCGUUCCAUUAGGUAGUAGGCGGGGUAACGGCCCACCUAGCCAACGAUGGAUAGGGGUUCUGAGAGGAAGGUCCCCCACAUUGGAACUGAGACACGGUCCAAACUCCUACGGGAGGCAGCAGUGAGGAAUAUUGGUCAAUGGACGAGAGUCUGAACCAGCCAAGUAGCGUGAAGGAUGAAGGUCCUACGGAUUGUAAACUUCUUUUAUAAGGGAAUAAACCCUCCCACGUGUGGGAGCUUGUAUGUACCUUAUGAAUAAGCAUCGGCUAACUCCGUGCCAGCAGCCGCGGUAAUACGGAGGAUGCGAGCGUUAUCCGGAUUUAUUGGGUUUAAAGGGAGCGCAGACGGGUCGUUAAGUCAGCUGUGAAAGUUUGGGGCUCAACCUUAAAAUUGCAGUUGAUACUGGCGUCCUUGAGUGCGGUUGAGGUGUGCGGAAUUCGUGGUGUAGCGGUGAAAUGCUUAGAUAUCACGAAGAACUCCGAUUGCGAAGGCAGCACACUAAUCCGUAACUGACGUUCAUGCUCGAAAGUGUGGGUAUCAAACAGGAUUAGAUACCCUGGUAGUCCACACGGUAAACGAUGGAUACUCGCUGUUGGCGAUAUACUGUCAGCGGCUUAGCGAAAGCGUUAAGUAUCCCACCUGGGGAGUACGCCGGCAACGGUGCAACUCAAAUGAAUUGACG
rnacentral:rRNA from 1 species